rnacentral:lncRNA from 1 species
UCUACUAAAUCUGGCCCGAUCAUCCGGCGUUCUCCGACGUCGUCCCAACAGAUAGGAGACCGACAUCGACGCCCAUACAAAGCCUCGUACGGCGCCAUCCCAAUGCUCGCCUGGUAGCUAUUAUUAUAGGCGAACUCCACUAGCGGUAAAUACCUGAAUCAAAAACACUCACCUUGGAGACCACAGUCUCCCACCGGUUCAACACAAACUGCCGUAAUUAACCCCUAUCAUAGAAAAACCAUCUACGGCAUUCGACAAUCCUAGGUCCAAGACCUCACCUUUUGCCUGACCAUAAGGUCCAAGGCUGACAUUAUCAAUCGAGCUCGACAAUUUUGUCUCAUCAACAACUUAAUCCGGUACAAACAACCCAACAUAUGGUCCUAGCAAGCCCAUCAUUUGAUGCGCAGGAUUGCUAAUCGCAAUGGGCGAUAAUAACCAUCGGUGAUGCCAAACACCUGUCACCAAUUAACCGGACAAGCAUACCAUCCCAAGGUUUGCACGAUAAGCCAA